rnacentral:misc_RNA from 1 species
GAUGAAGAACGUAGCGAAAUGCGAUAAGUAAUGCGAAUUGCAGAAUUCCAGUGAGUCAUCGAAUCUUUGAACGUACAUUGCACCCUUUGGUAUUCCGAAGGGCAUGCCUGUUCGAGCGUCAUUAUCACCCCUCAAGCCCUCGGCUUGGUGUUGGACGGUUUGGUGGAGGCCCCCUCGGGGGCUCCUGCCCCUCCCAAAGACAAUGACGGCGGCCUCGUUGGACCCCCGGUACACUGAGUUCUUCACGGGACACGUAUCGGACACAUGGGUUUACGGGACACGGUCUGCCUCCCCUCAGGGAGAAUCUUUCUAAGGUUGACCUCGGAUCAGGUAGGGAUACCCGCUGAACUUAAGCAUAUCAAUAAGCGGAGGA